CGAAUACAAGAGGGGAAGAGUUUGAUUACUACAUUAAAAGGGAACAAAGACAUUACAAUCUAAACCGAAUAUGCAGAAAUACACUUUAAAAUUAUUGUAAGCCUAUUAAGCCCUGAGUCUGAUUCCCAAACAGCUGCAAAACCAGAUCAUGAUCGAUUUUUUAUAACUAUAUAGCAACAUCAGUUACAAUUUUCCAUAUUAUUCAUUUUGCCUUACAGCCAAAAAAAAAUUAAAAAAAAAGCCUAAUUUGCAUCCUUGUUUGGCAACCAUGAAACACAUCAGCACUUUCAUUAACGGAAAGUCUUUCUUCAUAUUUCUGUGUGGAAUUCUGUUUCUCACCAAACUCAGUUUCUGCAUUGGUGACCUUGAUGUAGCAUGAAUAGAUGCUGAGAAGAAAGCGGUUGUCAAGUUCAAGGAAGGCCUAACAGAUCCUUCUGGCAGGCUUUCAUCAUGGGUGGGAGAUAAUUGUUGUAGAUGGGAGGGAGUAAGUUGCAACAACAGAACUGGACAUGUGGUCGAGCUCAAUCUUCGCUGCCCCUACUCAGAAAGUUUGGAUGGUGAUGGAACAGUGCAAACUUUGAGUGGUAAGAUUGAUCCAUCUCUGCUAGUUUUGAAAUAUCUAAAUCACUUGGACUUGAGCAUGAAUGAUUUUGGAGGUUCCCAAACUCCCUCUUUCAUUGGAUCAUUACAGAGUUUGAGAUAUCUCAAUCUUUCUGGUGCAUCUUUUGGUGGAACUAUUCCACCAAGUCUUGGAAACCUAUCGAGAAUGACAUAUCUUGAUCUCAAUAACGUUGAUCAGUUUGAGUUAACCAAAAGUAGCCUCUACUGGCUUUCCGGUCUUUCUUCUUUAAAAUACCUUCAUUUAGGAGGUUGGGACAUGUCCAUGUCUGCAACACAUUGGCUCCAAAUUGUUAACAGACUUCCAUCACUCCUGGAAUUGCACUUUCCCUUCUGUCAACUUUCCAACCUUCCUUUCACUCUUCCUUCUCUUAAUUUCACCUCUCUUAUGGUGCUUGAUCUCUCAAACAAUGGAUUCAACUCUGCAAUACCAGACUGGUUGUUCAAUCUCAAACGCCUAGUUUACCUUGACCUUAACUCCAACAACUUAUAUGGGCCACUUCCAGAUAAAAUUGCUAAUUUGGCUUCUCUUGAAAACCAUGACUUUUCACUGAAUUCCAUUGAGGGUCAGCUGUCAAAAAAAUGGGGAAAGUUAUGCAAUUUGCAGAGUCUGAAGCUUUCACAAAAUAAAAUUACAGGUGAAAUAACUAAUGUUUUUGAUACUUUGUCCACGUGCUCCAGAAGCAAAUUAGAGACAUUGAAUUUGGGGUACAAUGAGCUGGAAAUCUACCGAACUCUUUAGGAUAUCUAAAGAGUUUAAGGCACUUUCAAAUGCCAUAUAACUUAUUUCAAGGCUCACUUCCAGGCUCAAUUGGAAACUUGUCAGCUUUGGAACAAAUUUCAUUAUCCAAUAAUAAACUGACUGGUAUCCCAAAGAGUCUUGGACAGCUCUCAAAGCUGACUGUAUUAGACAUCUCAGAGAACAUGUGGGAAGGGGUCAUAACUGAAACUCAUCUCGCUAAUCUUUCAAGCUUGAAGGAGUUGACAAUGGAUAAAGCAUCCCCAAAUAUUUCUUUGGUCUUUGACAUUAGCUCUGAUUGGAUAACUCCUUUUAAAGUCACCUACCUCCUCAUCAGAUCAAGCCGAGUAGGUCCCAAAUUUCCUACAUGGCUUAAGAAUCAAAGUGAUCUGUCCUAUGGUACUCAACAAUGCAAUGAUUUCAGACACCAUACCAAACUAGUUUCUGAAUUUGAAUUUGCAGCUUGAUAGACUUGACAUAGCUUAUAAUCAACUAAGUGGCAGGGUGCCAAACUCAUUCAGAUUCAACAAAGAGAGCACUGCCAAAUUGACUACAAACAGAUUUCAGGGUCCUCUUCCACUUUGGUCAUCAAACGUUACCGAGUUGUAUCUUGGGACAAUAAGUUUUCGGGGCCAAUUUCUCCCAGCAUUGGUGAAGCAAUGCCUUUGCUAACAGAUUUAGAUGUCUCUUACAACUCUUUGAGUGGAAGCAUACCCUUGUCCAUUGGAAAUAUAACCGGAUUGAUGAACUUGGUUAUCUCCAACAAUGAAUUAUCAGACAAUGUAGACUUGGGAACAGCAUGUGGAAAAUAUUGAAUUUGAAAAUUGGUGAAGUGAUAAAUGAAUGAAGAAUGCACUGGCAGUGAAUGAUCAGUCAUGCGGGCUCAGCGGGACAUUGAAACAAGAAACGAGGAGUGCUGGUCGUUGUUGCCAUUCUGCAGUGGUUUCUGUUGGUGUUGUUCUGUUUUUCAUCUUUCUAUAAGUCUUGUUUAAUUAAAGUUUGCUAGUGUGAGUAGUUUUGUUAACAUUGCAUAUUUGAACUAUGUUUUUGUUAAGUGGUUUCUGUUAUGAAGAAGAAAAAGGAUUCAAGAAACAAAGUUAUGUUUGUGUUAGCAAUCUAUAUCUGUUUUUGUUUGAUUAGAAGGAUCCAGCUAAUGUAGAAAAGUAAAAGAAUGUUAAUUUGAUUAGAAAUGCUAUUUGUUAUGCUUUACUGCAUAUUUGGGCUUGUUAUGUCAGAUAAUUUGUCUAAAACGUGAUAAAAAAUGUGUGAUAAAGAUACAUUGGGAGACCCCGAAAAUGCUGGAUGCUCCAGUGUUUGGAUGUGUGCUUACUGCAGAAGGUGGGACACUCACUUUCAUGGUUUGAUGCUCCUGAUCCUUUCAAAAUUAAAGUAUUUUAUUCAAUUUAUGUUGUCUUGGUAGUACUCAACUUAUGGUUAAAAAAAAAAAAAAAAAACUGCAAUAUGUAUGCAGGUUGGUGGCCUGAGAAGCUUAUUUGGCUGCAAACCACUAUUACUUUCUAUGGGCAAGAGCACAGUAUAUUGUGGUGUAGCAGGAAAUGGUUCGGUUCUCAACCAUGGAAAGGCUAAAGAGCUGAACCUUGUUGCUAGUGCGGCCAAAGGUGUUGGUCUUAAAUGUCCUGUGACAUUCCAUAGACAAACAAUGUAAAUUCCUUUACCUACUUGACUCAAAAUUCUGAAACUAAUAUUCUCAUAAUCAAUAAAUUUUGGAUAAAUAUGUGAUACGAAUCUAGGACGAUCUGCUCCUAAACUCGUAUUAUAUUA